rnacentral:rRNA from 1 species
GGUUAGUCGAUCCUAAGAGAUAGGGAAGCUCCGUUUCAAAGUGUGUGAUUUUUCCACCACCUAUCGAAAGGGAAUCCGGUUAAGAUUCCGGAACCAGGAUAUGGGUUUUUGACGGCAACGUAAAUGAACUUGGAGACGCUGGCGAGGGCCCCGGGAAGAGUUUUCUUUUCUCCUUAACAGCCUAACACCCUGAAAUCGGAUUGUCCGGAGAUAGGGUUUAAUGGUUGGUAGAGCUCAACACCUCUGUUGGGUCCGGUGCGUUCUCGACAGCCCUUGAAAAUCCAAGGGAACGAAUAAUCUUCAUACCUGGUCGUACUCAUAACCGCAGCAGGUCUCCUAGGUGAACAGCCUCUAGUUGAUAGAACAAUGUAGAUAAGGGAAGUCGGCAAAAUAGAGCCGUAACCUCGGGAAAAGG